AAAUCAGCCUGUUCGGUCACCAAAUCACUUAGAAAAUCACGUUGCGAGUCGCCCGGUCGCCCGUCGUGGUGGUUAACUGGUCUGGGACUCUGGGAGUCAUCUCCACGCUCCGGGUUCGCGCCCGACUCCCCUACAAAUUCGCUCCACCGGCGGCUCCGGCUGCAAACCGCGACUGACUGCUGACCCCGAGCGGCACCAGCGCGCCCGCCCCGCCAUGGCUAUCCCCAACGCCUUUGACUCCCCCCUCGCGGCCAGGUCCGCCGUCGGCGCGGCGCUGGCGGCCGUCAUCGCCGUCCGCGCGGUCCGCCGCCGCUCCCUAGACGCCUCGGGCGGGGUCGCCGGCUUCGUCGUCAUGGCGGUCCACAUCUCAUGCGGCUACAGGUACGGGGCGCUGCUGCUGGCCUUCUUCUUCUCAUCGUCCAAGGUAACCAAGAUCGGGGAGGACCACAAGCGCCGCAUCGAGGAGAACUUCAAGGAGGGCGGGCAGCGCAACUGGAUCCAAGUUCUAGCAAAUAGCACAAUUGCCACUGUACUGGUUGUGAUAUUUGCACUAAUGACUGGAGGGCAAGAUCAGUGCAUGGACUCAAAUGGUUCAAAGCUUAUAACUGGCAUCAUAGGUGGUAUCAUUGGCCACUACUGUUGCUGCAAUGGAGAUACUUGGUCAUCUGAAAUCGGUGUGCUUAGUAAUGAACAACCAAGGCUUAUUACAUCCCUUAAGGAGGAGGCCUUAUCAUUGGUCUCACUUUCGUUGUUGUUGGACUGUUGACUGCUGAAUGUUCUUCCGAUAUGGCCAUCAGGCAGCUCCUAGUACUACCCAUCUCUGCUGCAGCUGGUUUGCUUGGGAGUCUAAUUGAUUCAUUGCUGGGAGCUACACUUGAAUUCAGUGGGUAUUGCAGUGUUCGGAAGAAGGUGGUCAGCAAAAGGGGCCCUACGGUUACAAAGAUUUCUGGGAUGACUAUCCUGGACAACGAUGCUGUUAAUGCAGUAUCUAUUCUGCUAACAACUGUACUUACAGCUUAUGUAUGCAUUUGCAUCUUUUAGAAAACUAGUUGGGUAAAUCUUGAGUUGAACCCUAUUUUUCAUUGGGCAAUGUAUUGUGACCUUAGCCUGCACGGUUCCUGGAAAUGGAACAGCCUGCAACUUCUCUGUGUAUUGGUACAAUUUGUAUUAUGGCACAGAAAGGCCGAUUC